CUUCUUUCGUAUGCAUGUGUUUACAAUUGGGGAGACUCAUACUUGUACUCUUUCCCUUGACAUACAGUAGCAUGCAUGUGAGAUGCUAUUUUCUUGAUGUUCUUUUGUUUUCAUGUGUAGAUGAAGGAAUGGGUAUUGUAUGUUGGAACAAAAGGUUGUUAAUAUCAGGUAUGUGGAACAGCUGGUUGGUAGUGCAGAGGCUGCAGUUGAGGAAGUUAUAUGGCUAAGGGGUGGCUCAUCCAAAUAAAAUUGUUGUUGGGGGUCAUUCGUAUGGGGCAUUCAUGAUGCAAACCUCCUAGCACAUGCUCCCCACCUUUUCUGCUGUGGAAUUGCUCAUUUUAGAGCGUACAACAGAACGCGUACUGCUUUUGGUUUUCAGAAUGAAGAUAGAACACUUUGGGAAGCUACUAAUACUUAUGUUGAGAUGAGCCCCUUUAUGUCAGCUAACAAAAUUAAGAAACCGAUUUUACUUGUGCAUGGAGAAGAAGACAACAAUCCAGGAACACUCACAAUGCAGGAAAGAAAAGUUCAAACCUUUUCAGAUGAUCUGCCCUCUUAUAAGCAAUGAACUUAUUGUUAUUAGUUCAUUUCAAUUUGUAUUUUUUUUUGUUCUAUUUUAGAAAUUUCUCUAGCGAUCAGCUUAUGACUAGUGCUAGUGGUAUUACUCAUGGUUCUAGAACCCAAAAACUCGACUCGACUUGAUGUUCAGCCAGGUGGGGUCGACUUGAAAACCAAACCUAACUCGACUCAAUAUUUAUUAAUUAGAAUUAAAAACACUAGGUAUGCCAAUAUAUGUCAAAAAUAGUAAAAAUGCGUUACUAAUUAAAAUAGAAGCAUUAUCAUGAAAUUGGUGAUUGGUACUCUGGUUAGAGCAUUUCCUUGCAUGGCCAAAGUUGUCGGUUUGAUUCUGUAUAUAUGAAUGUGGGUCUUAGAUAUAAUGGUAUAUUUAAUAUGUU